CCUCCCGGGAGAGCCAUAGUGGUCUGCGGAACCGGUGAGUACACCGGAAUUGCCAGGAAGACUGGGUCCUUUCUGGGAUAAACCCACUCAAUGCCCGGCCAUUUGGGCGUGCCCCCGAAAGAUUGUUAGCCGAGUAGCGUGGGGUCGCGAAAGGCCUGGUGGUACUGCCUGAUAGGGUGCUUGCGAGUGCC
rnacentral:other from 12 species